AGAAAGUCGAUGACGAGAAAGAGUACGAUUUAUUCCUGUCCCGCAGAAAGCCGGCAUUUGAUGAAAGCAGGCGUUCAGGAUAUUUCUGAAAAUCAUCUCCGAGACGCAAUGCCGAAUGUUAGUAGGCAUUGACGGGACUUCCGCCGUUAUACGGAACGCGUAUGUAUUGUACGCUAGUUGAGAGCCGGAUUUGAUCGGAAUUCCGGAAUUAGGGUGGUAACGCGAGCUAAACUCGUCCCUGUU
rnacentral:ncRNA from 1 species